AAAUUUCAACAUUUGAAGUGUACAUUAUCUUUGAAUGAGCAGGAUACAGUGUUUUAUCUUUAAUGUUAUUUAAAACUGGUGAUGCUCAACCACAACUUUCCACUGCGCUGAUGCUAAUCACUGAGCACUUCCGUGCUUGUUCUUUUAAGAGAGGGCUUGAUGACUAACUUGAUUAUACUAUUUAAGAUCAUUAAAAAGAGGAAUUAGGAAGCUAAUGAAAUAAUGUCUGAUUUCAACAUGUGGAAUAUACAAUCUGUAUUCUUUAUCACACUCUGCAUGUUUCUUUUCAAUGUGGCAGAUAACAAACUUGUAAAUGGGAAUUCAACCACUGGAGACAUAACAUGUAAUGUUCUUCAUCCAUUGGUGUACGCUAUCAUCUGCUUCCUCGCUGCUGUCAUUCUCAUUCUCCUAAUAAUUCUGUAUAAAAUCAUCUCCAUGCAAAAUCGCGUCAAAAAAGACAAUAUCCACAUGGCCAGCGACACAGGAGAAUCGACAUCUUUACAUAAUGCUUUGUGUACAAGUCUUGCUCCAACCUCAUGCGACGACGGAGCAGAUAAUUCAUCCUCUACUAGUUCAGGGACUCCUGAAGGCUCGAUUUCCAGUAGAUCUCAGCGGUACGUGAGUAUUCCAGAGUGCUCGAAAACAUCCGACUACAUCAAUGUUUCAGAAGGGGUUUCCUCUGGACGAGUGGACUUUAAGAAUAAAACAACACGCAUAGACUAUGUGAACAAUAAAGAGUCCCAAAGGAAGAAGGUCAGUGGAAAAGGUCAAGCGAGAUGUGCUGACGCUACAAGCGUUAGCAGCGACGCGAGUGACGAGUCUGCUGUCAAUUACUCCAAGGUUGUUUUUACCAAAGCGAAGAAGUAACAUGUCAUUGGUAGCUUUUGUAAAAAUGGAUCAUUUAGCUUGAAAUGAAAAUUCUGUCAUCAUUUAUUCACAUGUAUGUUAUUAUAAAAGCUGUAUGGCUUGCUUUUCUUUGUGGAGUUUUUGGGGGUUUUGCUAUAAAUUAAAUGGUCACUGCAGUGUUCAUUUAGUAUCACUGAGUAACGUUUGUAGCUCUUUAAUAUUUAGAUUUUGUUUCUAUUUUUAACUUUUGAAGUUUGGUUGUAAUUCGUUAUAUAGUUUUUAAAAAGUAUUUAUGUUUUAUUUAUACUCUAGUUUGACAUACAUACACACUGGGUAUUCAUCUUUUGUAGGGACUUCCCAUAGACGUAAUGAUUUUUAAACUGUGUAUUCUGUACUUCGUAUUCCCCAAGCCUAACCCUAAACACAAACUUCACAGAAAAUAUUCUGCAGUUUUACAUUUUCAAAAUACUACAUUAUAUCAAGAUUUAUGAGUUGUUUCCCUCAUGGGAAAAAUAUUAAAUAAAUAAACAGUCACCUAAGUUCAAAAAUGCUAUUGCUACUUGGUGCCCACAUGAUAAAUACCAGGAUCACACACAGUUGUUCAUCUGUCAUAUAAACUAAAGAAAAUGAAUGUUUUUUUUUUUUUUAGAAAAGGGCUGAAAAAAAUGUGUUUAAUUAAAAUAAUAACAAUUAUUGUACUUUUAUUGUCUUAUUAAUCAUUAACAGCUCUCUCUUACAGAGACAUAGGCCUGUAUUUUUAAUAUAGCUAUCAUUUUCAUAUAAUAUUCACUCUGAAAAAAGUACUGAGCUCUCAACUACUCAAGAUGUAUUAUGCAUAUGCACAAUAAUCAUUUAAGGAAAGGAAUUGCAUUUGGUUAUGCUUACACUUUAAAACCCAACAGUCAACUUUAUCAAAUAAAAUGACAGGAGUUAACUUAAAAUAUACUGAAAGUAAUUUUCUACUCAUUUGAAAAGAGUUUUGAACUCAGUGUUGAAAGUAAUGAGUUAAUUAAAUACCUCAUUAACUCAACUUAAAUUGAGUAAGUUCACAGGACUCAUAUGGAUUAGUUUUUUUUAACUCAAACGGUUUGUGCAAUC
rnacentral:lncRNA from 1 species